CUUGCUUCUCUUGAGAGCGGCGCACGGGUGAGUAAUGCCUAGGAAUCUGCCUGGUAGUGGGGGAUAACGUUCGGAAACGGACGCUAAUACCGCAUACGUCCUACGGGAGAAAGCAGGGGACCUUCGGGCCUUGCGCUAUCAGAUGAGCCUAGGUCGGAUUAGCUAGUUGGUGGGGUAAUGGCUCACCAAGGCGACGAUCCGUAACUGGUCUGAGAGGCUGAUCAGUCACACUGGAACUGAGACACGGCCAACACUUAUACGGGAGGCAGCAGUGGGGAAUAUUGGACAAUGGGCGAAAGCCUGAUCCAGCCAUGCCGCGUGUGUGAAGAAGGUCUUCGGAUUGUAAAGCACUUUAAGUUGGGAGGAAGGGCAGUAAAUUAAUACUUUGCUGUUUUGACGUUACCGACAGAAUAAGCACCGGCUAACUCUGUGCCAGCAGCCGCGGUAAUACAGAGGGUGCAAGCGUUAAUCGGAAUUACUGGGCGUAAAGCGCGCGUAGGUGGUUAGUUAAGUUGGAUGUGA
rnacentral:rRNA from 1 species